AGAGAGACGGGAGUCAAUAACUGAUUCAGAGUCGCUGCAUGUGAUUCAUUACAUUUACAGAGUGGUUGCAUGUGAUUCAGAGUCGCUGCAUGUGAUUCAGAGUGGCUGCAUGUGAUUCAGAGUGGCUGCAUGUGAUUCAGAGUGGUUGCAUGUGAUUCAGAGUGGCUGCAUGUGAUUCAGAGUGGCUGCAUGUGAUUCAGAGUGGUUGCAUGUGAUUCAGAGUCGCUGCAUUUGAUUCAGAGUGGCUGCAUGUGAUUCAGAGCGGUUGCAUGUGAUUCAGAGUCGCUGCAUUUGAUUCAGAGUGGCUGCAUGUGAUUCAGAGUGGCUGCAUGAGAUUCAGUGUCUCCCUAGCUGCUGCCCACUCUACUGUCUAUGUAGCUGCUGCCCACUCUACUGUCUAGGUAGCUGCUGCCCACUCCACUGCCUACGUAGCUGCUGCCCACUCUACUGUCUAGGUAGCUGCUGCCCACUCUACUGUCUAUGAGGCUGCUGCCCACUCUACUGUCUAGGUAGCUGCUGCCCACUCUACUGUCUAGGUAGCUGCUGCCCACUCCACUGCCUACGUAGCUGCUGCCCACUCUACUGUGUAGGUAGCUGCUGCCCACUCCACUGCCUACGUAGCUGCUGCCCACUCUACUGUCUAGGUAGCUGCUGCCCACUCUACUGUCUAGGUAGCUGCUGCCCACUCUACUGUCUAGGUAGCUGCUGCCCACUCCACUGCCUACGUAGCUGCUGCCCACUCUACUGUCUAGGUAGCUGCUGCCCACUCUACUGUCUAGGUAGCUGCUGCCCACUCCACUGCCUACGUAGCUGCUGCCCACUCUACUGUCUAGGUAGCUGCUGCCCACUCUACUGUCUAGGUAGCUGCUGCCCACUCCACUGCCUACGUAGCUGCUGCCCACUCUACUGUCUAGGUAGCUGCUGCCCACUCUACUGUCUAGGUAGCUGCUGCCCACUCCACUGCCUAGGUAGCUGCUGCCCACUCUACUGUCUAGGUAGCUGCUGCCCACUCUACUGUCUAGGUAGCUGCUGCCCACUCUACUGUCUAGGUAGCUGCUGCCCACUCUACUGUCUAGGUAGCUGCUGCCCACUCCACUGCCUACGUAGCUGCUGCCCAC